rnacentral:rRNA from 1 species
AACGAACGCUGGCGGCAGGCCUAACACAUGCAAGUCGAACGAGAAGCCACCUUCGGGUGGUGGACAGUGGCAGACGGGUGAGUAACGCGUGGGAACGUGCCUUUCGGUUCGGAAUAACCCAGGGAAACUUGGGCUAAUACCGGAUACGCCCUUCGGGGGAAAGUGUCAUUGCCGAAAGAUCGGCACGCGUCGAAUUAGCUGGUUGGUGGGGUAAUGGCCCACCAAGGCGACGAUCCGUAGCUGGUCUGAGAGGAUGACCAGGCACACUGGGACUGAGACACGGCCCAGACUCCUACGGGAGGCAGCAGUGGGGAAUAUUGGACAAUGGGCGAAAGCCUGAUCCAGCCAUGCCGCGUGGGUGAAGAAGGCCUUAGGGUUGUAAACCCCUUUCAGCGGGGAAGAUAAUGACGGUACCCGCAGAAGAAGUCCCGGCUAACUCCGUGCCAGCAGCCGCCGUAAUAC